ACUCCUGCGGGAGGCAGCAGUGGGGAAUAUUGCACAAUGGGCGCAAGCCUGAUGCAGCCAUGCCGCGUGUAUGAAGAAGGCCUUCGGGUUGUAAAGUACUUUCAGCGGGGAGGAAGGCGAUAAGGUUAAUAACCUUGUCGAUUGACGUUACCCGCAGAAGAAGCACCGGCUAACUCCGUGCCAGCAGCCGCGGUAAUACGGAGGGUGCAAGCGUUAAUCGGAAUUACUGGGCGUAAAGCGCACGCAGGCGGUCUGUCAAGUCGGAUGUGAAAUCCCCGGGCUCAACCUGGGAACUGCAUUCGAAACUGGCAGGCUAGAGUCUUGUAGAGGGGGGUAGAAUUCCAGGUGUAGCGGUGAAAUGCGUAGAGAUCUGGAGGAAUACCGGUGGCGAAGGCGGCCCCCUGGACAAAGACUGACGCUCAGGUGCGAAAGCGUGGGGAGCAAACAGGAUUAGAUACCCUUGUAGUCCCA
rnacentral:rRNA from 1 species